AUUUAAACAAAAUAAGUAAUAAAAAAUUUUUAAAAAAACUAAUUUAGUUUGGCGGCAUUUCAUCUGAUUAGAGGAAUUUGUCCAUUAAUCGAUAAUCCCCGUUAAAUUUAACUUAAAUCUAAAAUUUAUAUACCGCCAUCUCAAGAAUUAAUUUAAAAAUAUUCCUCCAAAUAAUAUAUAAAAAGUUAGGUCAAGGUGUAGUUAAUAUUUAAGGAUAAGAUGAAUUACAUUAAAUAAUAUUUAAGGAUUUUCAAUCAAAAUUAAACAUAAAAAAGGAUUUAAAAGUAAUUUUAAAAUAAAAUUUCAAUAUGAAUUAGAUAAUAAAUGUGCACAUAUCGCCCGUCACCCUUGUUACAACCCAAGGU
rnacentral:rRNA from 1 species